CCUACGGGGAAGGAUGAGAAGCUUCGACUAAGGUUCGACUCGAGCGCCAGCGAGAGAACGUUGCCAAGGGCAACGGCCCGAAGGGCGAGGAGCGAUAGCGACGAGUUAUCCUUCCCCCACCACCA
rnacentral:sRNA from 1 species